GCGCCUUAAGGAUGAGAUCAACAUGCUGACAGGAGAAUCUUUAAAGCAGCUGGAGAAGAGCAUGUCCCACCCAGAUAUAAUUCGGAGCUUAUUUCCCAUGUGAUUUCAGUUAAAGGGGGAAAUGUGCAUUAAACAGUAGCAUAAUAAAGCGUGGUGUAAAAGAGCCA